CCAGAAAUGUCAAGAACUGGUAGAAACACAAAAGUCCUGUGAUCCUGUUAUAGGAAUUGGGUCUAAACAAGACACAGCACAGAGAUAUGUGAUCAGGUAUCAACCCUAAGUGGAAUUCAGUACUUGAAAUAAUGGUAGAACACUCUCCAGGAAUAAAGACAGAAGUGGGCAUCUGUUUUUUAAAUUUCAAUGUUCAAUGGGAAAUGAAAAUAUUGGAUAAUAGGAACAUGAUGAUGAGCCCAGAAAGCUCAUUGUCCUAGUGCAAGAACUUCAUGCAGAGAACUAGACUGAAGAUCACACAGGAACUUCUAGGAACAUCUCUCUACAGGAAUGGGCAACACAGCUGGAAAUGAAAGGAAUUCAAUUAAUUGGUUUACAGAGGGUAGAAACUCUUUCCUAUCAGAACUGAGUCAGGUAAUUUGAUUUUUGUUGCAAUGACUACCCUUCAUAGCCAAGCAGUUGUAGAGCUCAAAAGAAUUUUAUCAUGGUCCAGAUAAAAGCUGAGACUGUCCCCUCCAUGGCAGUGUUACAAUUAAUUGAUUGUUACGAA